GAAUAUGAAGCGAUUUAUUGCAAUUAGUUUCGACCUAAUACUAGGUAUUUCUUACCCCUAUUCU
rnacentral:tRNA from 1 species